rnacentral:rRNA from 1 species
UGAAGUUAGCGGCGGACGGGUGAGUAACACGUGGGUAACCUGCCCAUAAGACUGGGAUAACUCCGGGAAACCGGGGCUAAUACCGGAUAACAUUUUGAACUGCAUGGUUCGAAAUUGAAAGGCGGCUUCGGCUGUCACUUAUGGAUGGACCCGCGUCGCAUUAGCUAGUUGGUGAGGUAACGGCUCACCAAGGCAACGAUGCGUAGCCGACCUGAGAGGGUGAUCGGCCACACUGGGACUGAGACACGGCCCAGACUCCUACGGGAGGCAGCAGUAGGGAAUCUUCCGCAAUGGACGAAAGUCUGACGGAGCAACGCCGCGUGAGUGAUGAAGGCUUUCGGGUCGUAAAACUCUGUUGUUAGGGAAGAACAAGUGCUAGUUGAAUAAGCUGGCACCUUGACGGUACCUAACCAGAAAGCCACGGCUAACUACGUGCCAGCAGCCGCGGUAAUACGUAGGUGGCAAGCGUUAUCCGGAAUUAUUGGGCGUAAAGCGCGCGCAGGUGGUUUCUUAAGUCUGAUGUGAAAGCCCACGGCUCAACCGUGGAGGGUCAUUGGAAACUGGGAGACUUGAGUGCAGAAGAGGAAAGUGGAAUUCCAUGUGUAGCGGUGAAAUGCGUAGAGAUAUGGAGGAACACCAGUGGCGAAGGCGACUUUCUGGUCUGUAACUGACACUGAGGCGCGAAAGCGUGGGGAGCAAACAGG